rnacentral:rRNA from 1 species
UAGUGAGUUUGAUCCUGGCUCAGAACGAACGCUGGCGGCAGGCCUAACACAUGCAAGUCGAACGGGUCCUUCGGGACUAGUGGCGGACGGGUGAGUAACGCGUGGGAACGUGCCCUUUGGUUCGGAAUAGCCUCGGGAAACUGGGAGUAAUACCGGAUGAGCCCUUCGGGGGAAAGAUUUAUCGCCAAAGGAUCGGCCCGCGUUGGAUUAGGUAGUUGGUGGGGUAAUGGCCUACCAAGCCGACGAUCCAUAGCUGGUUUGAGA